CGUUAAGCCCGCCGCCUGGGGAGUACGGCCGCAAGGCUGAAACUUAAAGGAAUUGGCGGGGGGGCACACAAGGGGUGAAGCCUGCGGUUCAAUUGGAGUCAACGCCCGGAACCUUACCAGGGGUGACAGCAGGAUGAAGGUCAGGCUAAAGACCUUACCUGACGCGCUGAGAGGAGGUGCAUGGCCGUCGCCGGCUCGUGCCGUGAGGUGUCCUGUUAAGUCAGGAAACGAGCGAGACCCUCGCCGCCAGUUGCUAUUCCGUCCCCUCAAGGGACGGAAGGCUAACUGGCGGGACUGCCGCCGAAAAGGCGGAGGAAGGAGAGGGCUACGGCAGGUCAGUAUGCCCCGAAACCCCUGGGCCACACGCGGGCUGCAAUGGUGGGGACAAUGGGAGCCGAACCCGAAAGGGGGAGGUAAUCCCCAAACCCCACCCCAGUUAUGAUUGAGGGCUGCAACUCGCCCUCAUGAAUCUGGAAUCCCUAGUAACCGCGCGUCACCAUCGCGCGGUGAAUACGUCCCUGCCUCUUGCACACACCGCCCGUCGCUCCACCCGAGUCCGUCUCCAGUGAGGUGGCGUCGCGUUGGCGCCAUCGAACUGGAGGCGGGCGAGGGGGGAGAAGUCGUAACAAGGUGGCCGUACCGGAAGGUGCGGCCG
rnacentral:rRNA from 1 species